GCGAACGCUUGCGGCGUGCCUAACACAUGCAAGUCGAACGUGAAAAGGGAAACCUGAGUAAAGUGGCGUACGGGUGAGUAACGCGUAGGUAAUCUACCCCAGAAUCUGGAAUAACCUGCCGAAAGGCGGGCUAAUACUGGAUAGAGUGAGGGAACUCGUAAGAGAGUUUUUCGGGAAAGGGAGCCCGCAAGGGCCUUCGUUCUGGGAUGAGCCUGCGUCUCAUUAGCUAGUUGGUAAGGUAACGGCUUACCAAGGCGAUGAUGGGUAGCUGGUCUGAGAGGAUGAUCAGCCACACUGGAACUGAAACACGGUCCAGACUCCUACGGGAGGCAGCAGUGGGGAAUCUUGCGCAAUGGACGAAAGUCUGACGCAGCCACGCCGCGUGAGUGAAGAAGGCCUUCGGGUUGUAAAGCUCUGUCGGAUGGGACGAACAUCUUCAUAGUGAAUAGCUACGAGGACUGACGGUACCAUCAAAGGAAGCACCGGCUAACUCCGUG
rnacentral:rRNA from 1 species